UACGUAGGGUGCGAGCGUUAAUCGGAAUUACUGGGCGUAAAGCGUGCGCAGGCGGUUCGUUGUGUCGGCGGUGAAAUCCCCGGGCUCAACCUGGGAAUGGCCGUUGAAACUGGCGAACUGGAGUGUGGCAGAGGGGGGGUGGAAUUCCGCGUGUAGCAGUGAAAUGCGUAGAGAUGCGGAGGAACACCGAUGGCGAAGGCAGCCCCCCUGGGCUGACACUGACGCUCAGGCACGAAAGCGUGGGGAGCAAACAGG
rnacentral:rRNA from 1 species